rnacentral:rRNA from 1 species
ACGCCUUAUACAUGCAAGUCGAACGAAGUAGCAAUACUUAGUGGCAGACGGGUGAGUAACAUGUGGGUAUCUUCCCUAUGGUGAGGAAUAACACGAGGAAACUUGUGCUAAUACCUCAUAAGUCUUUACGGAGAAAGCUUUAUGCGCCAUUGGAUGAGCCCGCACUUGAUUAGUUUGUUGGUAGGGUAACGGCCUACCAAGACUGUGAUCAAUAGCUGAUUUGAGAGGAUGAUCAGCCACAUUGGGACUGAGACACGGCCCAAACUCCUACGGGAGGCAGCAGUAAGGAAUCUUGCACAAUGGAGGAAACUCUGAUGCAGCGAUGCCGCGUGAGUGAAGAAGGCCUUUGGGUUGUAAAGCUCUUUCGUCGGGGAAGAAAAUGACUGUACCCGAAUAAGAAGGUCCGGCUAACUUCGUGCCAGCAGCCGCGGUAAUACGAAGGGACCUAGCGUAGUUCGGAAUUACUGGGCUUAAAGAGUUCGUAGGUGGUUAAAAAAGUUGGUGGUGAAAUCCCAGAGCUUAACUCUGGAACUGCCAUCAAAACUUUUUAGCUAGAGUAUGAUAGAGGAAAGCAGAAUUUCUAGUGUAGAGGUGAAAUUCGUAGAUAUUAGAAAGAAUACCAAUUGCGAAGGCAGCUUUCUGGAUCAUUACUGACACUGAGGAACGAAAGCAUGGGUAGCGAAGAGGAUUAGAUACCCUCGUAGUCCAUGCCGUAAACGAUGUGUGUUAGACGUUGGAAAUUUAUUUUCAGUGUCGCAGCGAAAGCGAUAAACACACCGCCUGGGGAGUACGACCGCAAG